AUGGUGAUGGGUGCCGUGCGCGCUGAUUGGCCGGGCCGUGUCUCCGUGGUGGCGGGGCAGAUUCCGGGCGCGGGUCAGUAAAACAAAGGAAGCGGGGGGACAAAGGCAUUAUUUGCAGUGUGCCUUGGAGAUCAAAAAGGCUCGUGCAGCAGGCAUGGCUGGUCUCCUCUCUGCACCUCUGAUCCUCCUCUGCGCCCAUGACACUGCCUUGCCCCCACAGCUGAGGGGCAGUAAGGACUGGGGUCUCCAAUCAAUAAUAUUUCUAAUAGGUAGCCCUGAGGAAAUGGGCCCCGAUUAUCCCAGCAGAUGUCUAAUGUUUUAUGAAGCCUUCACUGCUCUACAUAGCCUUACAGUAUCCUAUUGUUAUUUUACAAACAGUGGCUUCAAAAAGGUUAAUGCAGAUUAUAACUGCUACCUGGACCAGAAGAAGUACCCUACCUGGCUGUUUCAACAUAAAUCUAUAUUGGUAGUUGUGAUACCCAUUUGUACCUCUCAAAUAGUUUACAUAAACCUCAGUAGUAAGAGUAGUUCCUGGAAUGAUCCUUCAAUAAAGUUAACAAAUGCAGCAGAGGAUAAAUUCUACUUUAUGGAGAAAAAUAUGUGUGAUUCUAUACUUUAAAAAGGGUCACAUUGGGGUAUAUUGAAGUUAUUGUCCCACAGUCCAUCACCAAGAGUUAGAAGAGGCUGCUAGGAGGAACAUUUUAUAAUAAAACAUAAUUUUUAA